GCCCUAGAGAUAGUAAGAGUUGCGACACUCCCAUAGGGUGCCGUUGUACGCUUUCUUUCGGUCUACUUCCGGGUUGUGGAGGCUUGUUUAGUUCCAAGCACCGCUUCUACAGUGAUAUCCACCGUUCAUUUGCACUGCAGGUUGUUGAGUAUAUGUGGAGUAUCCCGAGAGCCCUCACUGAAGACAUGAAGACCCUCAUCAAAGAGUACUAAGCCAGGAAUUAGAGGCUUACAGAUGCACAACACAUUUUAAAUCAUUUUCAUCCCUCAUGGUUGCUGCUGCUGGUGCCUGCUGUUAUUCAUCUACUUUAUAGUGUCCAGGACACACAUGAAGAGGAUGUCUACCCACACACAAGUCAUUUGAUUAUUUUUUUAUUAUUUCAAAAAUAAUUGUAAAAAAUAACAUGAUGUUGUUUCUCCCAUUGUCAAUAAAACAUACUAUUUCAUUCAUCAAAGCAUAAUGAGUUGUUAUUCUUGAAUAUAUAUUUUGUGUAUGUCUUAAAAUGGUUAUAGUGAGUCAACUCCUGCCUGGACACUAUCUGCUGAAUGGACUGUUGUUACUCUGCUUUUCAAUAACUCCCAGACUACGGGUAAGUGAAUCAGAGAAAUAUAGACAUUGUCUG